rnacentral:tRNA from 1 species
GGGCUCAGAUAUAGUUCAGUUGGUAGAGUGCUUGCCUUGCAUGCACAUGGCCCUGGGUUCAAUCCCCAGAACCCC